rnacentral:rRNA from 1 species
AUAUGAAUAAGCACCGGCUAACUCCGUGCCAGCAGCCGCGGUAAUACGGAGGGUGCAAGCGUUACUCGGAAUCACUGGGCGUAAAGAGCGUGUAGGCGGAUUAAUAAGUCAGAUGUGAAAGCCAAUGGCUCAACCAUUGAACUGCAUUUGAAACUGUUAAUCUAGAAUAUGGGAGAGGUAGAUGGAAUUUCUGGUGUAGGGGUAAAAUCCGUAGAGAUCAGAAGGAAUACCGAUUGCGAAGGCGAUCUACUGGAACAUUAUUGACGCUGAGACGCGAAAGCGUGGGGAGCAAACAGGAUUAGAUACCCUGGUAGUCCACGCCCUAAACGAUGUACACUAGUUGUUGCUAUGCUAGACAUAGCAGUAAUGCAGUUAACACAUUAAGUGUACCGCCUGGGGAGUACGGUCGCAAGAUUAAAACUCAAAGGAAUAGACGGGGACCCGCACAAGCGGUGGAGCAUGUGGUUUAAUUCGACGAUACGCGAAGAACCUUACCUGGACUUGACAUAGUAAGAACUUUCAAGAGAUUGAUUGGUGUCUGCUUGCAGAAACUUAUAUACAGGUGCUGCACGGCUGUCGUCAGCUCGUGUCGUGAGAUGUUGGGUUAAGUCCCGCAACGAGCGCAACCCACGUCAUUAGUUGCUAACACUUCGGGUGAGAACUCUAAUGAGACUGCCUGGGCAACCAGGAGGAAGGUGUGGACGACGUCAAGUCAUCAUGGCCCUUACGUCCAGGGCUACACACGUGCUACAAUGGGGCAUACAAAGAGCCGCGAUACCGCGAGGUGGAGCAAAUCUCAAAAAUGCCUCCCAGUUCGGAUAGCACUCUGCAACUCGAGUGCUUGAAGUUGGAAUCGCUAGUAAUCGUAGAUCAGCAAUGCUACGGUGAAUACGUUCCCGGGUCUUGUACUCACCGCCCGUCACACCAUGGGAGUUGAACUCAUUCGAAGCGGGGAUGCUAAAGUAGCUACCCUCCACAGUGGAUUCAGCGACUGGGGUGAAGUCGUAACAAGGUAACCGUAGGAGAACCUGCGGUUG